GACGAACGCUGGCGGCGUGCUUAACACAUGCAAGUCGAACGGGCCUGUCUUCUUUUUUGGGGGUGGGUUGAGUGGCGAACGGGUGAGUAUCACGUGAGUAACCUGCCCUUCGGUCCUGGAUAACCGCUUGAAAGGGCGGCUAAUACGGGGUGGUCCGGUUGGUCCGCAUGGGCUGGUCGGGAUAGAUUCACUGUUUUUGGUGUUUCGGCGGGGGAUGGGCUCGCGGCCUAUCAGCUUGUUGGUGGGGUGAUGGCCUACCAAGGCGGUGACGGGUAGCCGGCCUGAGAGGGUGGGCGGCUGGACUGGGACGAAGAGACGGCACACAGUGCUGGGGGCGGCAGCCGGGGGGGGAAUUGCAGAAUGGGCGGAAGACUGAUGAAGCGAGGUCGCGUGAGGGAUGGGGGCCUUCGGGUUGUGAACCUCUGUUUCCGGGGGUGAAGGCCCUGUCCGUGUGGUGGGGUUGACGGUAGCCGGGGAUGAAGCGCCGGCUAACUACGGUC
rnacentral:rRNA from 1 species